UAAGUAGUUUUAAAAUGUAGUAGAACGUAGAACAUGAAUCUCACUUUCCAGCUUUGAAGCUAUCCAUUGCUUUUCAAUCUAACACAUUCUGAAGCUUGGUACUGAGAAUCUCUAUUGUCAGGAGGAGAAUUGGCUCUGAGAUCUUUUCGUCAGCUACAAAGAUGGACAUCCAAUUCAAUUCCAAAGAUGGAAAGAAGACAUGCAGUUGGGAAAAUAACUACCAAUACCUGGAAAAAUAUGACAAGUGCCAUGUGAUCCAAGAAGAGAGAAAUGACGGCAGGAGUUCAGAUGAUAUACUUGGCUAGGUGAAGCAAUGCUAUGGAAGACAGAGAGAAAAACAUAGCUGAGGACAACUGCCUCCCAUACGUAGGGUCAUCUUCUACCUUCCCAAAGCAACAUUUUAUCCAGUACUCAAAGAUUCUGAAGAUACUGUGAAAUGAUACAUAUCCUGUUUGCAGGUGAGGAAGAUACCAGCUUUCAGCUCAGCUUUACACUUUAAAGAUGCCUCACUGAAAAGAGGACAAAGGCUCUGCCAUCCACCUGUCAUUAUGACCCAGGGAGGUUCAUAAUUGGAGUUCUCCUGAAAAAUGAAAGAAAAAAAAUGGAGCUACAGAUUUGGAUCACUAUUGUCUCAAACUCCUUGAAACUUUUCUGUUUAGUAUGCAAUGGACCCUGCAGAUGGUAUUUGGCUCAUCAAAACCCCCAAAUGGUCAUUAUUAUGGAUACCACCUCUCUACAAAACUACUAAUCAAAUUAAA